rnacentral:rRNA from 1 species
AUUCCUUGGCACAGACCGCGCCGUUGUUUGGGUGAGGUUCCAGAGGCGCUUGAAGAUCCAAGCGCCACCGGCCGGGGGCGAUUAAAUAAGUCUCGAGAGACCAUUCUUUCAAUCCCCCGGUGGUUAUAAAACAUGUCCACUGGUUGGUUUGUUAAGGUUUCGACAAUGAUCCUUCCGGUAGGUGACCUGCGGAAGGAUCAUUG